rnacentral:rRNA from 1 species
AUUGAACGCUGGCGGAAUGCUUUACACAUGCAAGUCGAACGGCAGCACGGGGCAACCUGGUGGCGAGUGGCGAACGGGUGAGUAAUACAUCGGAACGUGCCCAAUCGUGGGGGAUAACGUAGCGAAAGUUACGCUAAUACCGCAUACGAUCUACGGAUGAAAGCGGGGGAUCGCAAGACCUCGCGCGAAUGGAGCGGCCGAUGUCAGAUUAGGUAGUUGGUGGGGUAAAGGCUCACCAAGCCAACGAUCUGUAGCUGGUCUGAGAGGACGACCAGCCACACUGGAACUGAGACACGGUCCAGACUCCUACGGGAGGCAGCAGUGGGGAAUUUUGGACAAUGGGCGCAAGCCUGAUCCAGCCAUGCCGCGUGAGUGAAGAAGGCCU